UCGAGAAUUUUUCUCAAUGGGGGCAACCCUGAAGGAGCGACGCCGCGUGGAGGAUGAAGGCUUUCGGGUUGUAAACUCCUGUCAUUUGGGAACAAGUGGUCGAACUUAACUGCUUCGGCCUUGAUAGUACCAGAAGAGGAAGGGACGGCUAACUCUGUGCCAGCAGCCGCGGUAAUACAGAGGUCCCAAGCGUUGUUCGGAUUCAUUGGGCGUAAAGGGUGCGUAGGUGGCGCCGUAAGUCGGGUGUGAAAUUUCGGAGCUUAACUCCGAAACUGCAUUCGAUACUGCGGUGCUUGAGGACUGGAGAGGAGACUGGAAUUCAUGGUGUAGCAGUGAAAUGCGUAGAGAUCAUGAGGAAGACCAGUGGCGAAGGCGGGUCUCUGGACAGUUCCUGACACUGAGGCACGAAGGCCAGGGGAGCAAACGG
rnacentral:rRNA from 1 species